rnacentral:rRNA from 1 species
AGAGUUUGAUCAUGGCUCAGAACGAACGCUGGCGGCGUGGAUAAGACAUGCAAGUCGAGCGCUGAUCACAGGGUAGCAAUAUUCUGUGGUUGGAGCGGCGCAAGGGUGCGUAACACGUGGGUAAUCUGCCAUGAAGUUUGGGAUAACUUGCUGAAAAGGCGAGCUAAUACCGGAUGUGAAAAUUGGAAGGCAUCUUUUGAUUUUCAAAGCUGGGGAUCUGUAAGGACCUGGCGCUUCAUGAUGAGCCCGCGGCCUAUCAGCUAGUUGGUAAGGUAACGGCUUACCAAGGCUAAGACGGGUAGCUGGUCUGAGAGGACGACCAGCCACACUGGAACUGAGACACGGUCCAGACACCUACGGGUGGCAGCGGUCGAGAAUUUUUCACAAUGGGCGCAAGCCUGAUGGAGCGACGCCGCGUGGGGGAUGAAUGGCUUCGGCCCGUAAACCCCUGUCAUUUGCGAACAAAUUGCUCAACCUAACACGUGGAGCAUUGAUAGUAGCGAAAGAGGAAGGGACGGCUAACUCUGUGCCAGCAGCCGCGGUAAUACAGAGGUCCCAAGCGUUGUUCGGAUUCACUGGGCGUAAAGGGUGCGUAGGUGGUAGGGUAAGUCGGAUGUGAAAGCUCGGAGCUCAACUCCGAAAUGGCAUUGGAAACUACCCAACUAGAGGCGGAGGGGGGACUGGAAUUCUUGGUGUAGCAGUGAAAUGCGUAGAUAUCAAGAGGAACACCAGUGGCGAAGGCGAGUCCCUGGACGACUCCUGACACUGAGGCACGAAAGCUAGGGGAGCAAACAGGAUUAGAUACCCUAGUAGUCC